rnacentral:piRNA from 1 species
UAAUAUGCACAAUUCAAAUGACUUUGACU